rnacentral:lncRNA from 1 species
GAAAAAGUUUAGUUUAGGGUUUAAAACCCUAAUGUUGACUAAAGGGAAAAAGUUCAGUUUAGGGUUUUAAAAUCCUAAUGCUAACUGAACGGAAAAAAGUUCAGUUUAGGGUUUAAAACCCUAAUGCUGACUGAAUGGAAAAAGUUCAGUUUAGGGUUUAAAACCCUAAUGCUGACUAAAGGGAAAAGUUCAGUUUAGGGUUUAAAACCCUAAUGCUGACUAAAGGAAAAAGUUCAGUUUAGGGUUUAAAACCCUAAUGCUGACUGAAUGGAAAAAGUUGUGUUUAGGGUUUAAAACCCUAUUGCUGACUAAAUGGAAAAAGUUCAGUUUAGGGUUUAAAACCCUAAUGUUGACUAAAGGAAAGAGUUCAGUUUAGGGUUUAAAACCCUAAUGCUGACUAAAGGAAAGAGUUCAGUUUAGGGUUUAAAACCCUAAUGCUGACUG